rnacentral:lncRNA from 1 species
CACACCUGGGCUCAUUCGGUCAUUAUGUGGACUGGGAGUAAAAUCUAGGAAUGUACCGUUUUUUAACAGACAUUAACCUCUUCAAACACUGUCAUUGUUUGAUAGUUAGAUCUUUACAUACACUUACAUGUUUUUCUGUCUAAAUUGGGAGUAUCAGUGUAAGUUUGUAAAGAUACUGUCAUUUUCUUCUAUUUGCCAAUUUCCAUCAUAUUUGACAUGUUCCCUGACAAUUAAAUUCUGUUUUUAACACAUACACAGAAAGUUCCCACUUGCAUUUUAAACUAAAAGUGAAUUGAAACAACAUAUUUCAUAUUAAUAAUGUUAUCCACAUCAAAAAACACAGGAAGAUAGAAAGUUUCUCUCUAUUUUGUUUUUAUAGUUCUCCUUAGCCUGCUUCCAUUUCCUCUUCAGCUCAUGUUGGACAUGUUUCUUUGUCUCCAUCUUUAAAUGUCUCCUUAUUCUGGUUAAGGACAGCCUUGAUCUCACUACUGAUCCAAGGUUUGUUGUUGACACUGUAGAAGUUGAUGUGAUCAAUGAAACUGUCUUCCUGUCUGUCAAUGUCUUCUCUAGUUGGACAAGUGACAACUUAGAACAUGCAACAUUAGCAUUUGCUCUUGGUUGAAUUAAUAUGACCGGGGUUACACCAUCUCUUGUUUACAAAAAAAACAAGCAAGACGAACGGAUAUGACGGAAGAAAAGAAUCAAAACAGAGCAGCUGAAAGAGGAAAAGAGUCAAAAACAAAAACAAAACCUGUUAGAUCAUCUGGUACGGAUGAGGAAGGUGGGUCUUGCAGGUGUUACUUAUGCUGCUUUUCCAAACAUGAAUCAGAAGUCGAGAUGGAGGAUAUUGUACCUGAAAACAAGGUCUGCAGUCUGGGUUUGUCACUCUGUCCCAUCCCUCUCGCCUUGAUGACAGUUUCAGGAUGGAGACGUCCAGAAAAGCUCUCCACCAGACAGCAGUGGCUCCGACUCCUUCACCUCGUUCACCGUAGAUUUUCACUCCUCCCUUAUGACUGAGGUGCUCAGCUUGAGGAGGAGAAGAACAGGAG